rnacentral:lncRNA from 1 species
CUUGUAAACUCUCGAGAUGAAAUUAAAUAGAUUAAUAACAACACAAACAACAUUUUACAUUGCAUGAAUUCUUUUUAUUCUAAUACAUUUCUUAAGACCCUGGUGCAACGUGGUGUUUAUUCUUACUAGAAUUUUGGGUCCGGAGAUCUCAGUUUUUCCAGCAGCGGCCAUUGCGCCAGCUCCAGCCGCUCUGGCAUUGGUGGCAGCUUCCGCCAUACCAAUACCAGCUUUUCGGGCAGCGGUGACAACCAUUGUCAUACCAGUACCACCCUCUCUGGCAGCGCUGGGCAGCAACCUUUGCGAUUCCUCCCACGUCCACUCCCAUGGCCAGCAUCAUCACAAAUAUGGCAACAAGCCCAAGGGAAACCAGCUGAGUCUUGCUCAUCGCCAUUGCUAUAUACUUUGAACACACUGCUACUGCAAGUGAAAAAAGAAAACAAUAAACCAAAUCAGCACUCUACAGAGCUUCGAAGAUCUCUGUCUGACCUUUGAGGAUUGGCACUGGAUAGAAGAGUGAAUGUAGAAACCUCUCUUGAGAGGGGUAUCUAUAUAUGCCCUUGCAACG